ACUGAGCUUGUGGCCAUCCUGGUUGGUUCAUUCAUUCAUGGUGAGGUCAUCAAUUGCCUUACAAUUCUCUAAGUUGUCUUGGCAACCUUCAUAUACAGUUUUUCAGAGCUAUCUUAGAGCAGUCUGACAAUUCAUCUUUCCAGGUAACAUUUUUUUUAACCAAUCCCAUGCAAUUUUUAACCAUUGUACUCUCUUUCAAUAGCAGCAAGGUCGAGUUUCUGUCACUUAUAAUCAAGACCCAUGACCGUUAGAGUCCUUUGUAGAGAUUGUAGUUGAACAGAAAGAAACUCAACUUCUCAUCUAAAAAUGGGAACGAUAAUAAUAAGCACGCACUUAACAGCAUGGUUGGGAAGAUGAGCUGAGAUCAUGUAUGGAAAGUGGAGAACAUGGUUUGCCACAUAUGUUAAUUGUCAGUAGUAAGAACUUCUGAGUUUGAUUUAAUCAGUAAAUAUUUAAACAAGUUCUUGUCCUCCCUGGUUGUACUUUACUUCUCCACAAAUGGGAAUAAUUCCUGCUUCACCUUUCUCAUGAUUGGUGUGAAUGCCAAACUGAUCAGGGGAGAUGCUUUUUAAAAGUAUACUAUGAAUAUAAUAGAUCCCCACAUUUUCACUAGCUCACCCUGAUCCCUGGAAGCCCUCAGUGUGGUGGUUGGUGGUUAUUAUUUUAUGCAAUGGGUCAGUUGUGUUGAGAGGCAAGAAGGGAAGACAGUGUUUUUGAGGAAAAUGAUAGAAAGAUCUUAAAUUUUAUGAACUUUAAAAUUUUACAAUGCUUUAUUAUACCUGUGAGGCCAAAAGGAAAUCUAAUAUCCCAUCUCAAUAGCUUGACUUGUCUUUUUUAUGUGUCAAAAAUGUGUAGAAGGCAUAAAUCCGCCAAGCCCUCGAGGGUGUGCUGAGCAAAGAUGUGAAGUUUGUCUGUGUACUGUCCUUGUUUUCUCCUCCUACCUGUCACACACCCAGCUGAAGAAACAGCAGCUAACUUGCUUGCUUGGUAUACAAGGUGUGCGGUGUGAGAAAGUUGUCCCCCAGGAGCACACUGGAAGGGCACUGAAGGCAUUGGCUGCAGGAGGUGGUGGCUAAGCUGGUGACUGGCCAGGCCCAGAUGUUGAGAGAGUUCCAGGGCAGGGCCGGCUCGAAGGCCACUGCACACCCUGAGAACAACUGCCAGAGGAUUAGAACUGCAGGGAUUUAAGGUGUGAAGAGAGGGAUGAGGGAAGUGAGGGUGGGAGCAGAAGCAAGGUUCCCACGUGCAAAGGGUUUAGUUGAGGGGGAAAGGGACUCAAGGAAGUGCCACGGUCACUGCAUGGCUGGCAGCCUGGAGGGUGUGUUGGAAGGGGACACACGGGAGCUGGGAGCAUCACUGGCACCUGGGCAGGUGGAAUAAUGAGAGGGGUGAAAGGCACAGCAGAGGCCAAACCCCGGCAGUGUCCUGGUGAGGGAGAGGAGUCCAGGACAGCAUUGCUGACUUGGGGGCUGGAAGUGCAACCCAACUGAAAGAGUGGUGGUAGGGGAGGUGGAUUCCAGGAAGAGGGGGAAGAGGCAGCAUGGGAACCUAAAGGGCUCAUCUUGGGUGCUGAGAUGUCUGCAUGGCGGGGGUGAGCUGUCCUCACUGCCCCUCCACCACAGUCCAGCUGUGAGAGUUGGGUCCUGCUUGUAGAAACUGGCCCUGGGUUUCACCCAGUCUUCUCGCCCACAUGCCUGGCUGGCACAGUUCAGAGUCUCAGGGUGCAGCAGCCACUUGUCACAGAGCUCCCAUGGACUGGGAGCCCAGCAUCCCCCAAAGUGUUGCUGAGGAACCCUGGGUCUGUGAGGCGAGAGGCUGAAAGGAGGCCCUGUGCCUAGAGAAGCUUGGGGUGUGCUGAGGCCCACAAAACAAAAUUUCUUUACUGCAGGACUUCUCAGAGCCUUUAAGUGUAUGUAUGUGUGUGUGUGUGUGUGUGUGUGUGUGAGAGAGAGAGAGAGAGAUAGAGAGAGAGAGAGAGAGAGAAUCCUCAAGAAGGGAGAUCUAGAAAGUGCUGCCUCCCAAAUUCAUCUGACGAUGGCAUUCUUUCAGGGGAGCAAGCAUGACACUGACAUUUUAUUGGAACUCCUUUAGGACAGUGAUUAAGAUGAGCCCCCUCAGAGUGAUGGAAGCUAAUAAUACUGUGUCAUUUACUUGGAGUUGGCUAAGAGAGCAGAUCUCAGGUGUCACACACAUGCAGUGACUGAUAAAAGAUUGGUUAAUUUGAUUGCUGUAAUCAUUGCCCAAUGUACACAUAUAUCAAAUCAUCCUCUGGGCACCUUGAAUAUAUAUAGUUUUUAUUUGUCAAUAUUUACUCUAUAAAGUUAGAGGAAAAAAAUUCAGGAAAUGUUUCAAUAGAUUCAGGAGGAAAUAGAGAUGAGUCCUUGACUACUUACGUGCCCAUCCACCAGCUUGAUGCAUUGUGACAUUCCACCCCACUGAUUCAGCUCUUCUAAGAAACACAGCAGUUAGUGCCUCUCUGUUAGCCACCCAGCCCCUAUUCCACCUUCCACGUUCACUAUGCAGCUGUGUAUCUCAGACAACACACAGCAUGGUUUUUAUUUUAAUUAAUUUUUAGAAUUAUUUUUAUUUAUUUGAAAGGCAGAGUCACAGAGAGAGAGGUAGAGAAAAAGAGAGAGAGGUCUUUCAUCUGCUGGUCCCCAAAUGCCACAACGGCCACAACUGAGCUGAUUCGAAGCCAGGAGCAUCUUCUGGAUCUCUUGCAUGGGUGCAGAGGCCCAAGCACUUGGGCCAUCUUCCACUGCUUUCUCAGGUUCAUUAGCAGGGAGCUGGAUCAGAAGUGGUGCAGCCAGGGAUUGAAUCGGUGCCCAUAUGGGAUGCUGACAAUACAGGCUGGGGCCUUAACCCACUGCACUACAGUGCUGACCCCAAAUUAGUAAUUUAUUUGAGAGGCAGAGUCACAGACAGAGAGAGGGAGAGACAGAGAGAAAGGUCUUCCAUCUGCUGAUCUAUUCCCCAAAUGGCUACAACAGCUGGAGCCAGGCAGAUUUGAAGCCAGGAGCCAGGAGUUUCCUCUGGGUCUCCAAUGCGGGUGCAGGGGCCCAAGCACCUGGACCAUCCUCCACUGCUUUCCCAGUGGCAGCAGCAGAAAGCUGGAUCAGAAGAGGAGCAGCUGAGACACAAAGCAGCGCCCACAUGGGAUGUUGGCUCCGCAGGUGGCAGCCUAAUGCGCUAAGCCACAGCUCUGGCCACCACAGCAUUGUUUUGCAGUUGAAAAUGUGUCCUGCACCUUGCUUGCCCUGUUGGCUCAGUAUCAGGUCUCAUGUUGCAUGGAUGUACCAUGGGCCUAUUUCUCUUCUUCUGGUGUUUACCUGUGGGAUGCUUUCAGCGUGUUUAGCAUCAACUGUGCCAUUGGCGACCUUCUCCACACGUGGCCUUGUGCACAGAGGUGAAGCUUUUCCACUGAACACUCCAGAAAGGGAGUUGUUGGGACAGAGUCUCAGGGUGCAACUGUUACUGGUUACCUGCAACCUGCUUCUCCACAAUUUCCCCCCUCUUGGUGCUAACAGGUUCUGCUCCACUCCAUGGGAGAGUGGUGUCCUGUAUCGUCUGCGCCUGCAUGUCCUGGAGUCCUUGGGAAUUUAUCUUCUCUUAUGCUUACUGGCUAUUGGCCUUCCUCUUCUGGGACUUGCCUCUGUUUUUCUUUUUUUGCCCCUUCAGUCUGUCUUGGAUUUUGAGGUUCUUUAUGAUGUUUAAAAUUUUUUUAAAAAUUGUUCUCAUUUUAUUUGAAAACGAGAGAGAGAGAGAGAGAGAGAGAGAGAGAUCAUCUAUUCCCCAGUGUACUCUCCAAAUGCCUGCAAAAGCUAGAGUUGGGCCAGGCCAGUGCCAGGAGCCUUGAACUCCAUCUGGGUCUCCUGCAUGGGUGGCAGAGACCUAAGUACUUGAGCCAUCAUCUGCUGCCUCCAGGAUGUGUGCAUUAGCAGGAGGCUGAAUCAGAGAUGCAGUAGCCAGCACUCGAAUGAGGCACUCUGCUACAUGGGAUGUGGGCAUCCCAAACCAUGAAUUAACCGCUGUGCCACACACCAGCCCCUUGAUGUUUUUUGUUAUGCAGAAGUGGAAGAAUUUGCAGGUAGCCAAGUUUCUCAAUAUUCCCACUGAUGGCCUGUGCUGCCUGGGACUUCUUGACACAGCUUUCUUCACCUACGAGUUAAAACACACGCCAGGUUAAAGUUAAAAAUUCCCCUUUUCCCAUUUAGAUCUCCAAUGCUUCUGUGAUUGGUUUUGUGGGAGGUAUGAGUCACGAUCCUGACUUCCCGGUUUUCCAUUUAAAUUAGCAAAUGCCUAGCAUGGUUGAUGGAAUCAUGUAUCCUUCCCUGGUGGGUUGCAGUGCCACCUCCAGCCCAGGCAAGCUUGCACACACUCUCGGCUUCCCUACCAGGCAGGUUGCACCUGCAAAGACUAAGCCUGGAGGAGACAGGCAGGCAGGCUGCAGAAGAAGCUGUCUCCUUACCUGUGCUCUGGGGACUUUGCAACUCCCCGCAAGAAUAGUAAAUCCCCUCUGCUGAGGCUUCCUCUCAUCUCUCUCCUUUCCUUCUCUCCCUCUGCCCUCUCCUUUUCUUUUUCCCUGCCCUCUUUCCUUCCUUUCUUCAUCUCUGUUAGGCUUAAGUUUCAGCUUCAAGUCCUGUUUAUAUGCAUGACACAGGCAUUCAACAUAGCUCUUCAAGUGUGUGUGUGUGUGUUGGAAAAUAUGACUGGGAAUAUCACAUUUCCUUUCACAAGCAGGGGCUGGCUGGCUGGCUUCGUUUCCAUUUAGAAGAGACAGAUAGUUCGGGCUAUUAAAAAUCUACAGCACUUUGCUUUGGCUCCUGGUGAUUCAUGGCUUCUAAUCCCCGUGGAUAUAUUUUUAUUUUCUUGGAUAUAUUGGAUGUGCAGGUGGUAUAUAUUGGAAAAGCUGGUUGUUUAUUGACACGCGCCCCGUAAAGACUCUGAUUAAUCUCAAAAACAAAUAGAGGAAAGUGGAAGGUCACCCUCGGAUCAAGUGCUCCAAUUCUCUCCCCCAUCCCUGAGUUAUUUAUUUCCAGUGGAGAGAAAUCCUCCCAGCGGAGGCAUCAGGAUGAGCACGUGGAGCAUAUGCAGGGGUCCUCUUGCUCUGUUUCCUAAACUUCCGCUGUCCCGAGGGCCGGAAGUGCCUUCCCUAGCCCUCCACGGUGGUGAGUAAGCCCGCCCUCUCUUCUGUGAGUCACCUGACUUGGAGCUGGUCCAGUCCUCUCUCUACCUCCUCCAGGAGCUUGCACAGGAGGGCUUUAUUUUAGGUGUCCCUUGGAUCCCAAAGGGUUGGCUGUGUGUGCCGAGUUUCCCUUGACUGUUGAGCACAGUGUCUUGGGUCUGGCGCUGGUGGGAGGGCAGUGAUGGCUGCGGGUAGGUGAGGAUGCAUGUGGGACUGAGCCUGCGCACGGAGGACGGAGUGGUGGAGCAAGCAGGGGACAGGACGUUGCAUUUCGAGAUCUGAGGCUGGGUCAGAUCCCUCCCCUCCCCCUUGACUUGGGUGCAGACUCCAAUCCUUGGCCUCCAGCAGGGGUCCUGGUGCUGCUCCUCCUCUGCUCAUCCAGUGAGUGGAGAGAGCCUUCUUGUCAGUUUCCGAGGCUCUUGUCUUUGCUUCUGACCACACCCUCCACAUGGGCUGCCACAGGGAGCUGCCCACAUGCCCAAGUCGAUCAGUUACUUCCUUGGUUAACACUCUUCCUGCAAAGUGGCUUGCCCUUCAAGUGGGAGGCGACUGUGUGCUGCACACAUCAGUGCUGUUCACAUCCACAGCCUGAACCGGGACAGAGGGAGGCCUUUCCCCAGCCACUGUGCGCUCACUGGCAGACAGGUGGCCACAGUGGACUCAGGGGUCGACCAGCUGUCCCUCCGUAGCAGCAGGUCCUGUGACACCUGGUUUCAGAGAUGUCCAUUUCCCAUCCGAGGAUUACCUCCAGGGAGCCUUGCCUCACCCGCCCCCAGCAGAAUGGUGGCACCCUUGAGCAAAGACCCCCUGAGCUUGAAUCCUCUGCCUCUCGUCUAUUGUCUGAAGCGCGCCGUGGACUGCCCUGGGACGGUGGCUGUAUCGUCUCCAUCUGAAUCUCUUGUUCAGAACGCCGGGCAAGGCAUCAGGGGUAGACAGUUUCUGCAAUCUUGGGGCAGGGGAGGGGCUCAGUGGUGUUCAUGUGAAAAUGUGCACAACUCUUUUUCAAUGUUAAAAAAAAAGCAGCCUUCCUGAGUGCUGUUUGCUUUCCCGGUGCAGGGUUUCUGAAAUCUGUGCACCGGGAUCGUGAGGGAGCAUGUGAGAAACAGCUGUGGGUGUUGGCCCAGGUGUGGUGCUGAGCGGGUGUGAGAUGAGGGCCUGGGGACCUACGCGGCACCCUGCUGCGGCCAGUCCUCGGGGAGAGAGGCUGCGGGAGGCUGAGGGAAGUGAGUCACAGGGGCACCCCUGUGCUCCUGGCAGAGUGAGCUGAGGCCGGGACCAGACGCCCACCUGUCUUCCUUCCCUCUCAUUACACUCUCAGCUCAGGGGUGGAGAAAUUCUGCUCAGAAAUGUCCCUGUGUGUCCUGAAGCUCCUCAUUCCGCCUCCAACCCCUAUAGAUAUGAUCUGUGAGGUCACGUCUGAGGACUCGCUAAUGCCUGGAUGCUCCUGGGCACGGAGCCCCCAUGGAUCUGAGCCAGCGCCAGGCUGUGCCGGCUCUCAGCAGCCUCAGGCUUUGGGUUCUGCAAGAGCUGCGAGCUGCAAGCCAGGAGCUGCUUCAGCAGGGGCUUCUGGGGAAUGUCCAGGUACUGUGAGGCCCUGUGGUUGAGCUCCUCCUCUUGUUAUUGUUCCACAGCAACCAACAUGGGCUGGCCACCAUGCCUUCCUGCAGAAGGUGAUGAAUAGAGGGUAAGCCUCCAGGUUUCCCUGUGCCCCUCCUAAGCCCAUCUCAGAACCUCCUGGGAAAAUGGGUCACUUUAAUGCUGAAAUGCACACAGGAAGGCAUGGGGAAGAGCCAGCUUGCUGGACAUAGGCCUUGUGUUCUUGGACUGGAUGCAGCACGCAGAGGUUGCAAACACUGAGGCUGCAGUGGCCAGACAGGUAGGAUGCAUGCGUGGAUGAGAGAUCUUGGGAGCAGUGGGCUGCAGCAAGCUGGACAGUGUCUGAGAAUAUUCACACUCAUUGCCGAGGCAGACGCUGUGUUGGCCAACCCUAACAAACACGCUGUGUGGUUUUAACUGGUGUUUGUGAUGUGCAUGGCACCUGUGUGUGACUCUUAGGAUACACCUGGGCUUGCGUCUUGGGUAGUUUUCCCUUGUGUCUCAUAUCCCCGAUGUGGUGUUCACUGAAAUCCAAGACUCAAAUAGGAGGAGACUUCAAAAAGUUAAUGGAGGGGCCUGUGUUGUGGUGCAGUGGGUUAAGCUGCUGCCUGCGAUGCCAGCAUCCCUUAUUAGUACUGGUUAGAGUCCCUGUUGCUCUGCUUCUUAUCCAGCUCCCUGCUAAAUGCACCUGGGAAGGCAGUGGAAGAUGGCCUGAGUGCUUGGGCCCCUGCCUCCCAUGUGGGAGACCUGAGUGAAGCUCCUGGAUCCUGGCUUUUGUCUGACUUGGACUGGCCAUAGUGGCCAUUUGAGGAGUGAACCAGAGGAUGGAAGACACUUCUUACCCUCUGUAACUGCCUUUCAAAUAAAUAAAUCAACAAAUCUUGAAAAACUAAACAAAGCACCAAAAAGUUCAUAUAAUAAGGCAUAAGUUUAUUUUGGAGCAAAAAGUUUUGAAAUUCAUUUCAUAUAUGUACCUUCUUUAAAACUGUAAAAAACUUGGCUGCACCACGGCUCACUUGGCUAAUCCUCUGCCUGUGGUGCCGGCACCCCGGGUUCUAAUCUCGGUUGGGGCGCCGGAUUCUGUCCCAGUUACUCCUCUUCCAGUCCAGCUCUCUGCUGUGGCCUGGGAGGGCAGCAGAGGAUAGCCCAAGUGCUUGGGUCCCUGCACCCGCAUGGGAGACCAGGAGGAAACACCUGGCUCCUGGCUUCAGAUCAGCAUAGGGCGCUGGCCGUGGCGGCCAUUUAGGGGGUGAACCAACGGAAAAGGAAGACCUUUCUCUCUGUCUCUCUCUCUCUCACUAUCUAACUCUGCCUGUCAAAAAAAAAAAAAACUGUAAAAAACUUAUCUUUUAAUAUCAUUUUCCAUGAACUUUUUUUUUUUUUUUGGACAGGCAGAAUUAGAGAGAGAGAGAGAGAAAGGUCUUCCUUCGGUUGGUUCACCCCCCAAAUGGCCACUACGGCCGGCACGCUGCGCUGAUCCGAAGCCAGGAGCCAGGUGCUUCUCCUGGUCUCCCAUGUGGGUGCAGGGGCCCAAGCACUUGGGCCAUCCUCCACUGCCUUCCCAGGCCACAGCAAAGAGCUGGACUGGAAGAGGAGCAACCGGGACUAGAACCUGGUGCCCAUAUGGGAUGCCAGCGCUGCAGGCGGACGAUUAACCAAAUGAUCCACAGUGCCGGCCCCUCCAUGUGGUAUAUCUGGAAAACGAUCUGCCCCUGGGGCGGAUGAGAAUCGUGCAGGGUAUGUGGAAAGGAGAGACCAGAGCAGGUGGGAGAGCUUCAGAGAUUGGCUCCAACUGGUCCCAGAGAGGGAGGUGCUGAUGAAGACAGUAGCUAGCAUUCAUUGCGCUGUGUACUUGGUCUGACUUACAACAUCUCAUCCUCUCGACGUCAGAAUGAAUGGUUCUCUCUCUCUUCACUUUGCACAUCCUUAAAAGGUUGAAUUGAUUAUAGCUGGUACUUACUCAGAGCCAGGUACUGCUUUCAGCACUACACACACAUUAACCUAUUGAACCCUCCUAAGUGAACUCCUAAAAAUAUUUUUCAUUUAUUCAGAAGUGGGGAGGGAGGCAGAGGGAGAGAGAGAGGUAGAGUGAGCGAGAGACAGGGAGAAGGAUAUCCCACUGCUGUUUUAUUCUCCAAAGGCCUGCAAUGGACAGGGCUGGGCCAGGCCAAAGCCAGGAGCCAGGAACUCACUCACCCAGUCUAGGUCUCAUGUGGGCGGUAAAGACCCAGAUAUUUGAGCCCUCACCUGGUUCCUCCCAGGUGCAUGUAAGCAGGAAGCUGAGGUUGGGAGCAGAGCUGAUGCUUGAACCCAGGCACUCUGAUUUGGUAUAUGGGCAUCCCAAGUGGCAUCUUGACUGCUGGGACAGUGCCCCUCCCUUAAAUAAGGCUUAUUGUCAUUGUCCUACUUUACACAUGAGGAAGCUGAGACACAGGGAGCUUAAGACACUUGCUCAGUGCUACUCAGCUGCACAGAGGUCUGGGUUGGAGUGCAGAUGGCUGGACCCCAGAGCUCUUGCCCUCUCUAACUUGUGAGAAGGUGUCUUUUAAGUGAUGAGAGAUUUUUGUUUCAUAUGUUCUUGCAACACACGCUAGGCAGACAGUGCAGGCCAUAACCGGAGUAGAAAUGAGAUCGGGCCACAGCAAGCGAUACAGCUCAGGGAGGGUGCACAGCUCCUGGAUAUGCUCUGAGGGCAGUGGGUUACAGGCUGGGGUGGGGAACAGAGGCUGCUGGGAGCCAGAGCCAGGAAGCUGGAUCACACCUUUGGAUACAGGCAUUUAACAUGCCAAUGAGGGACUCCUUUAUUUUUUUUUAACGAUCUCUUUGAAAGCACAGUGAUUAAUAGAAACUUUGUAGUACAGAAAGCCCAGCAGGUCAGGAGAGGACUGCCACUGGAAAGAGUUUGCUACUCACAGUUCCCCAGAGGAGGGUGCAUGUCAGGGAAGAGGCAGAGGAGCGCGAGUAAGUUAAGGCUUAGUUAUGGCUAUGGCUAUGGUUUUCUUUUCUUUUCUUUUUUUUUUUUAUUAAAGAUUUAUUUAUUUUAUUUGAAAGUCAGAGUUACACAGAGAGAGGAGAGGCAGAGAGAGAGAGAGAGAGAGAGUUCUUCCACCCGAUGGUCCACUUCCCAAUUGGCCACAUGGCUGGAGCUGUGCUGAUCUGAAGUCAGGAGCCAGGAACCUCCUCCAGGUCUCCCAUAUAGAUGCAGGAACCCAAGGACUUGGGCCAUCCUCCACUGCUUUCCCAGGCCACAGCAGAGAGCUGGAUCGGAAGUGGAACAGCUGGGUCUCGAACCCAUGCCCAUAUGGGAUGCCGGCGCCCCAGGCCAGGGCAUUAACCUGCUGUGCCACAGAGCUGGCCCCUAUGGCUAUGGUUUUCAUAGUAAGGAACAGGGCAGCAGGGGUGGGCUGGGAGUUGACCCCCCUUUUUUUGAGUUACACAAGUAUGAAGCAAGUACCAUUAACCUGAAUAGGGUGUUGUUGUGUUUUGGUAAUGGAAAUGGCCCAGAUUUCCGUCUCCAAGUCCCCUAUUUGAGAAGAUGUGCAUAUAGAUUUACUUGCGUUUGAAUAGUAGAGAAAGAAAACAUUUUUCUUCGAAUAUAUCUAAACAUUGAAAACUGCUUUGUAUGAUUGUUGGGACACAUUUUUUUGGCUUCACGAUGAUGAGGAGGAGAGGAAACUCUGGUGAGAGACACCAGGUGCUAGGAAUGGGGCCUUGUGGUUCCAUUGACUGUUGCCGGGGAUUGGUUGCUUGGGGUUCUUGUCUUUGCACAAGAAAAAAUUCAGAUGUGAGCCAGAGUAGUGGUAAGCAUGAUAUCAAAGUUUAGGGAAGAGAAAUAAUGAAGAGAGUACAGCUGGCGGCCCAGAUGGCCAUCUCAGUAAACAUGGAUUGGCUGUUUUGCUUAUAUUUAACAGGUUCUGGGGCAAGGGCUUUCCUCGGGUCUGGUGCCUGUCCCUGGGCACCUUGGGCAACGGAGAGUGGCUGAGAGUGUGCACACUGAGGGAAGCUGGACAUUCAAAACCAUCUGUUUUACAACACGUCAAGAGUGGCUACCUUGGACCGACCAGAUGGGUCUAGAGUUCCCAGGCUACUGAACUACUAACUCCAUUAAUUCAGCUCCCUGCUAAUGUGUUUGGGAAGCAGCAGAAUAUGGCCCAAGUACUUGGACCCCUGCCACUCUCAUGGAAUAUCCAGAUGUUAGUUCCAGGGUCCUGGCUUCAGCCUGGCCUAGCCCUGGCUGUUGCAGCCAUUUAGAGAAUGAACAAGUGGAUAGAAGAUCUCUUUCUCUCUGUCUUUUCUUCUUUUUCAUUUUGCCUUUCAACUAAACAAAUAAAUUAAAAAAAUAAAAAAGUCCAGCACUAUGUUGCCUAGAAGAAACUUCACUAAAAGUUAAAGGUUGGAAGAAGAUAUUCCAUGAAAAUACAAGCAAAAACAAGCAUGGGUAGCUGUAUGAAUAUCUGACAGUAUUUGAUGUAAAAGAAGAGAAAUCAACUCUAAUAGGAAAAGAGUAGGAGACAUUAACACCUUAUCUUCGACAAUGGAAAAAAGACAAAGGACAAAAAAAAUCAACAAAGGAAUAUCAGAAUUCAACCAUACUAAAAGGUCAAAUGGGCCUAGCAGUGCUUCCAACAGCUGCAGAGGAUGCAUUCUUUUCAUGAGCACACACAGCAUUCUCAAGGAUAAACUAUGUAUUUGGCAACAAAAUGAUUCUAGACAGCUGACAAAAAAAUUGAAAACACAUCAUGUAUCUUUUCAGGCUACAAAGAAACAAAAAAACAUCGCAACAAAAGAAACUAGAAAUUUACAAAUACAUGGAGGUUGAGCAAUAUACUCUUGAAUGAACAAUGGGUUAUUGAAGAAACCAAAAGGGAAAUUUAAAAAUCCCUUGAAAUGGGUGAAAAUAGAAACACAAUUUACCAAAACUUAUGGGAUAUAGCAAAAUCAGUACAAAGAGGGAAGUUUAUAGACAUGAGACUCCAAUAUCAUAAUAAAAAAUCAGAAAGAUGUCAAACCACCUAAUGAUUAAUCUCUAGGACCCAGAAAAAUAAGAACAAACCAAAUCCAAAGUGAGUAGAAAGAAAGAAAUGAUAAAAAUUAGAGCAAAACCAAUGAAAUAGAAAUCAAGCAAAUAAUACAAAAGAUUAGUGAAACAGUUUUUUGAAAAGACAAACAAAAUUGAUAAACCUUUAGGUAGGCUAAGAAGAAAAGAGCUAAGACUCAAAUACUAAAAUAGGAUUAAAAAGAUUUACAACUAAUAUCACAGAUACAAAGGAUCAAUAGAGAUAACUAUGAACAAUCAUAUGACAACAAACUGGAAAAUCGAGAAGAAAUGGAUAAAUUUCUGGACACAUAAAACAUCAGAAUUGAAUCAUGAAGACACAGAAAGUUUGAACAAACCAAUAAUGCAUAAUGAGAUUGAAUUGUUAAUAAAAAGACUGUCGAGAAAAGCCAAGAACCAAAUGGCUUCACUGUUGAAUUCUAUCAGCUUUCAGGGAAAGACUAACAUGAAUCCUUAUCAAACUCUUCCAAAAUAUGGAAAGGAAAGGAAUCCUUACAAACUCAUUCUACCACAUUGCCCUGAUUCCAAACUCACAUAAAGACACAGAAACAGAAAAAAAAAAGGAAAUGAUCAACUAAUAUUGUAUCACCAAUGAACAAAUGCACACAGAUACAAGGGUUCUCAACAAAAUACUAGCCAAUAAAACUCAAUAACACAUCAAAAGACCACUCUGACCACAUGGAAUUUGUUCCAGAGAUGCAAGGAUGAUUCAACAUACACAAAUCAAUAAAUAUAAUAUCACAUCAACAGAAUGAAGGCUAAAAAUCAUAUUGCCAUGCAUUUGCUGUGACCCUGAGAAUCUAACAUGUUAAUAUAUAUAUGAGUAAUGCCAGUACAACUGCUCAAAUGAUUAAAUGAAAUAUUUGUAAAUUGAACAAAAGGUCUGUGGGACUUAGAUGCUGAAACUUAUAAAAUACAGAUGAAAUAAAUCAUUGAAGACCUAAAUAAAUCAAUACAAAACAGCAAGCUUAUUAACUAUUCCCUUAUUUUUAAGAAAUAUACACUGUAUCAUUUGGGUGACACUACUCUGAAGUGGUUUCAGAACCCAAUAUCUGUUGUUUUUUCCAGGUGCAUUAGUAGGGAGCUGGAUUGGGAGUGGAGCAGCCAGGACUUGAACCAGCGUCUGUAUGGGAUACUGGCAUCACAGGCAGCAACCAACAGUACUGGCUCCCAUCUGAACUCUCUGAAUUCCGCCCUUGGUGAUCUAGCUUACAGACACUGUGGACAAGAACUAUCUUGGUGCUCAGCCAAAGGGAAGCAGGAAGGUUCGUCCUGGGAUAUAGAUAAAGCCCGUUGCCUGUGAAAGGCAAAAGCAGCUGCCAUCAAUUUUAAUGACUGUGUCUUAUCUCCAAGCUGCCACUGGACACCUGAUGUCUGUGGAUAGACCCAGCGGGAAAGCCGGCAUCCACAUCCUGCCCAUCACUCCUAUGUCCACUCUUGGCUGCACCCAGGAGAGUGGGAAUCUUUGAGCGAGACAUUCUCUGAACAGGAUUCAAUCCCCUGCUUUGUGUGGUGUGGCUCAUCAGGGGAAACAGCAUUUUCAUAUGGGUACAGCCUGUGGGUGCUUUUUUUAUUUUCAAAAUCAGCGAAAUAAGGCUUCAGAUUCCAGGCACUUUUGCUGCCACGUAAAUGAUUGUUCUUAGGUCAGUGGAGCCACACAAUGAGAAGGAGCCCAAGGCCAUGCUUAUUAAGACCCACUUAUGUAGACCUUGGAUUAAUGCUUUCACCUUCACACGUGCAAGCCCUUCUCAAGGCUGUGAGUACAACAGGAGGAUUUAUGGGGGAGUGGGCAGGGGCUGAGUCCAGCCCCCAGGAGACAGUGGCCUGUCUUUCAGCCUCAGAGAGGAGAGCUGGAGGGAUCUGAGCAGCGCACUGUGACCAAGGUCUGGGCAUGCACAGUGACAGAGAAGACAACCUCUGACCCCAGGGAGUCUGGAGGCACAGCCUGGAGGGAAAGGCGGGAAAUGUACUCCUGGUGGCCCUUGGCUCCGUCCAGCCUCGUGCAGACCCAGGUGUAAGCAGUGCUUGUGUGGCGUCCUCACCGCUGGACACCACCAGCACGGCUCAGUGUAGGACACACUCAGCCUCUUCACCUUGCCCUGUGUCCCUUCCCGCCCAGCCUCCAGAGUGUCGCUGACCGCUCUUACUGGCCCUCCUUGGGGUCCUGGGCUCCCCUCCUUGGAGUCCAAUCCUUAGUUCUUGUGAAGGUUGCUGGGCUGGUGAUACAAAUGGGUCUAUUCCCAACUGUUUUAACUUUCUCUGCCUCCUCUCUCUCCAGCAGAGAGGAGGGAUCUACCCUACCACGACUGACUGUAGCAGCCCAUCACCAUCCACGUAAACGCACUGCAGCCCUGAUUCCCUGUGACCUGGCUCCAGCCAGGGAGAGGAUGCAACCUAGAAACCAGAAUGUCCAACGCUCCCCACUGCCUCAUCCCCUGCCGAAUGGCCCAUCAUGUUAUACCAGAUCCAGGGGGCUUAGUUCAGAUGAAGCCUCGUGAUGAACAUCUGAGAGUUUGACUCGUCAUCUGUCUAGCUUCGGGCCAGAGAUGCUAGCACUUAGAGGAUUUUGCUCUUGCUCAGGGCUCUGAGAUGGGCACAGGGCAGUAGUCCCUCCAGCACUCAGUACACUUCAGGCUGUCAGGAGGGCAACUAGCUUGCGCGGAGUAGGCUGGGGAGGAGUCAUCCUGUUCCUGGAGGAGAUCUACGGAACUUGGUCUUGGGACUCUGUCCUCAGAGUUGAGUUCAGGAGAGAGCUUUGUUCUCCAGGCAAACCACACGCCUUGCAUGGCAUAGAUCCAACUGGGUGGGCUCUUCUCGCCACCUCCCCUCUGAAGAGAGACUCAGUUGCUUACCAGGUGCUGGGGCCACCUGGCAAAUCCCCCUUUCCUUUGCUGUUCCCAUAAGUGAGCAGCAUGGGCUCCGAGUCCCAUCACAACCUCCAGCAGCUCUGUGUUCAACAGACAAAUCCUGCACUCAGAGAGGACCCAAAGGCCAAAGGAAUGGCCUAGUCAACAGGCGGUGGCUGGGAGUCAGAAUGAGGCCUGGGUCUACCAAUGCCAGAGGCUGCAAUCCUCCCAGUGGGAUCAUUUUGCUGGUCUCUUAUUAUUUUCUAAUUGUUUCUUACAAAAAAGUUUUUCAAUUCAUUAUGGUUUUGUUGUGUUGAUAAAAUCACAUGGCAUAAAAUUUACCAUCCUAAAGCACCUUUUCAGAAGAUUUAUUUAUUUACUUGAGAGGCAGAGCUACAGAGAGGUAGAGAGGUAGAGAGAGAGAGAGAAAAAGAGAGAAAGGGAGAGGUCUUCCUUUCCUCUGGUUCAUUCCUCAAAUGACCACAGCAGCCAGAGAUGCACCAAUCUGAAGCCAAGAGCCAGGAGCUUCAUCUAGGUCUCCCACACGGUUGCAGGGACUCAAGGACUUAGGCCAUCUUCUACUGCUUUCCCAGGCCUUAGCAGAGAGCUGGAUUGGAAGUGGAGCAGCUGGGACUUCAACCAGCGCCCGUACGGGAUGUUGGCACUGGAGGCAGCGGCUUUACCUGGUACACUGCAGCACUGCCCGCCCCCCCCCCCCCCAAGCAUUUUUUUUUUCACGUGUACAGUGCACUUUGUUUAUGGCUACUCUCUGGGACAUUUUCAUCUUGCAAAACCGAUUUUUUUAAAAAAAGAUUUAUUUGUUUGAAAAUCAGAGUUACAGAGAGGAGAACACAGACAGAAAGAGGGAUCAUUCAUCCACUGGUUCACUCCCCAGAUGGCCACAACUGCCAGAUCUGGGCUGUGGGGAGCAAUCGGACUAGACUAAGUUACUCGAAUUAAGACUUAUUCUAUGCAUCUGCUCUCCCACAAUAUGGUGCUGGGAGAGGAGUAAACAGCUUCUACGCAGCUGCCUCCAGUUCCACCAAUAAACUGUAGGACCUGCUCCUGAUUGGAGGAGAGCAGCGUACUCAGCGUGUUGGGAUUGGUGGAAGAGGACUAUAAAGGAGGAGAGAGACAACAUGCACCAGGAACAUCUAAGGGGAACACCUGAGGAACAGCCCCCGAGAGAGCCGGCCGGCGGUGUGCUGCUCCCCUGCGGAAGUGGGGAAAGUGGCAGGGGGGCCCGCCCCUCCACGGAGGUGGAGGGACGGCAGCCAACCUGGGAAGAACCAGCAGCAAACCCGGGAAGGGCUGAGCAGACGAAAGAACAGCGCAGGGUCCUGUGUCAUUCCUCCGCAAAGAGGGGGAGCGACACUGGGCCAGGCCAAAGCUAGGAGCCAGGAGCUUCAUCCAGGUCUCCCACAUGAGUGCUGGGGCCCAUGCACCUGAGCCAUCUUCUACUGCUUUUCUCAGGUGCAUUAGCUGGGAGCUGGAUCAGGACUGGCAUAGCAGAGACUCCCUAGCGCCUAUAUGGGAUGUAGGUGAUGCAGGCUGUGGUUAUAGCCACUACACCACCCCAAAACUAAAAUUCCAUUCUGCUUUCUGUUGUGAAGAGCUUGAUGACUUUACGUGCUUCAUGUAAGUGGAAUUAUGCAGUAUUUGUGUUUCUGUGACAUGACUGGAAAUAAUGUCCUCAAGGUUCAUAUAACUUGUGUGUGACAUGUUUUCCUUACUUUUUAAGGCUAAAUACGACCUGAUGGUAUAUGUACAUUGCAUUUUCUUUAUCUGUUUAUCCAUCCAUGGGGAUUGGGUUGUUUCUAUCUUCUGGUGAAUGUGAGCAGUUAAACUGGGAGUGCAGAUAUCUCUGAGAUGCUGUUCUCAGUUCUUUUGGAAGUACGCAACCCAAAGUGGGAUUGGUGGAUCAUACAGUAGUUCUAAUUUUAAUUUUGUUUUUGAGGAACCUCAAUGCUAUUUUCCAUAAUGGUUUCAACAUUUUAUAUUUACAGCACUAGUGCACAACUCCAAUUUCUCUUCCUUCUUGCUCAUACUUAGUAUUUUCUGUGAUUUUUUUUUUUUAACAGUGGCCACCCUAAUGGAUGUGAGAUGACAUUCCGGUAUGGUUUUGAUUUGCAUUUCCCCAAUGAUUUGUGAUGUGAAGUGAGCAUCUUUUCAUAUGGUUAUAGUAAUUUUCAUGUCUUCUUUAGAGAUAUAUUUAUUCAAAUCCCCUGCCCAAUUUUAAAUCUGCUUGUUUGCUCUUCUUGCUUUUAUGUUGUAGCGGUUCUUUAUAUAUACUGGAUAUUAGUCCUCUGACAGAUAUAUGGAUUGCAAAUAUUUUUUCCCAUUCCAUAGACAGCCUUUUCAUUGUGUUGAUUGUUUCCUCGCUGUGCAGAAUUUUUUUUUUUUAUUUGACAGACAGUGAGAGAGAGACAGAGAGAAAGGUCUUUUUUUCCAUUGGUUCACUCCCCAAAUGGCCGCUACGGCCAGAGCUAUGCCGAUCCGAAGCCAGGAGCCAGGUGCUUCCUCCUGGUCUCCCAUGCAGGUGCAGGGGCCCAAGCACUUAAGCACUUGGGCCAUUCUCCACUGCCUUCCGGGCCAUAGCAGAGAGCUGGACUGGAAGAGGAACAACUGGGUAGAACCCAGCGCCCAUAUAGGAUGCUGGCACUGCAGGCGGAGAAUUAACCAAGUGAGUCACAGUGCCAGCCCCUGUGCAGAAGUUUUAAAGCUUGACAUGGUCCCGUUUGUGUCCUUUCAUGCUUGUUGCCCACGUAUUUGGUAUUCUUAGGAAUAAAGACUCAAGCACAAACAUUUCACUCAAGAGGCCAGGGAAGAUUGCAGGGAAAUGUUGCAAAAGAGAAGCUAAAUUGCAGAAGGAUCCUCCCCAGUGGGUGCAGAGGCUGGUUUACUUGCUCACUUGUCCUGUCAGUCAUUGGCUGAGGAUGCUGCCAGGCACUUCUGGUCUGCCAGGCAGGUGAACAGAGAAGCAUUCCAUAACCCCAGAAAAGCCUUUGGGCACAGAGACAUGUGGAUGCUGGCAGCUGGCUGCAGCAUUUUGGAGCACCUAAAAAGAUGACAGGGUUUGAACAAAGUGAGUAGAGCACUGACAGUCCCUGAUAAAGCCCAAACGAACACCAGUCCUGGAUUCUAGACCUGAUUCUACCACUAACAAGAUGUGUGGCUUCGGGCAAGUCAUCGGUCCUCUAACUUAGCUUCCUCAAAAGCACAACAAGGAGAUUCUAUUAACACUUGAGGACACAGACUGUGCUUCGGCCAGCCUUUCCCCAGGCAUGGUUCAGCUAGCGUUCAUGCCUCAUCUGGCUGCUUCUGUGGCAAUCACUUUUUUUUUUUUAAAGAUUUAUUUUUUUUUUGAAAGGCAGAGUUACAGAGAGGCAGAGGGAGAGGCAGAGGGAGAGGCAGAGGGAGAGAGAGAGGGAGAGAGAGAGAGAGAGAGAGAGCGAGCCAUGUGCUGGUUCACUCCCUAGAUGGCUGCAACAGACAGAGCUGAGCUGAUCUGAAGCCAGGAGCAAGGAGCCUCUUCUGGGUCUCCCAUGCGGGUGCAGGGGCCCAAGGACUUGGGUCAUCUUUCACUGCUUUCCCAGGCGAUAGCAGAGAGCUGGAUCGGAAGUGGAGCAGCCAGGACUUGAACCAGUGUCCAUAUGGGAUGCCAGCACUGCAGGCGGUGGCUUUACCUGCUACACCACAGUGCUGGCCCUGUGGCAGUUACUUUUCAAUCAGGGUCUUCAGGGAAUUUGCCAUGAAGAAGCUUGUCUUUCCAGAAGACUCAACAACAUCACUACCCAUGUGGUUGCUUUUCCUGCACUUGGAUGCCCCUUGAGACCCAGCACAGCCCUAGAAGCAGUGAGAAAAGAUUGUGCCCAAGGCCAUCUGAAUGAGUGGGAGAUGGAAACUCAGAGCUCUGUAUGCACAGGGAUGUAGAAAUGCUAGGCCCAGACAAGGGCUGAAAUAUUCACGUGGCUGAAAGGUGGGUGCUUGAUUUUACAUAUUCUUU